rnacentral:rRNA from 1 species
UACAGAGGUCUCAAGCGUUGUUCGGAUUCACUGGGCGUAAAGGGUGCGUAGGCGGCACGGUAAGUCAGAGGUGAAAUCCCGGAGCUCAACUUCGGAAUUGCCUCCGAUACUGCCGUGCUUGAGGACUGGAGAGGAGAUUGGAAUUCACAGUGGAGCAGUGAAAUGCGUAGAUAUUGUGAGGAACACUAGUGGCGAAGGCGAAUCUCUGGACAGUUCCUGACGCUGAGGCACGAAGGCCAGGGGAGCAAACGGG